GACGUAGGGUCCAAGCGUUGUCCGGAUUUACUGGGCGUAAAGAGCGCGUAGGCGGUCCGUUAAGUGUGAAGUGAAAUCCGGGGGCUCAACCUCCGAACGGCUUCGCAUACUGGCGGACUAGAGGAAGGCAGAGGUCGGUGGAAUUCCAGGUGUAGCGGUGAAAUGCGUUGAUAUCUGGAGGAACACCCAUGGCGAAGGCAGCCGACUGGGCCUUAUCUGACGCUGAGGCGCGAAAGCGUGGGUAGCAAACAGG
rnacentral:rRNA from 1 species